UACGUAGGGGGCGAGCGUUGUCCGGAUUUAUUGGGCGUAAAGAGCUCGUAGGCGGCUUGGCAAGUCGGGUGUGAAGCCUCCAGGCUCAACCUGGAGACGCCACUCGAUACUGCCAUGGCUAGAGUCCGGUAGGGGACCACGGAAUUCCCAGUGUAGCGGUGAAAUGCGUAGAUAUUGGGAGGAACACCAGUGGCGAAGGCGGCUCACUGGACCGGUUCUGACGCUGAGGCGCGAAAGCGUGGGGAGCAAACGGG
rnacentral:rRNA from 1 species